AUGGGCGCCUGGUGCACAACUCGUACCCAUGCCUCCGCGGGGCUCUGGGAACGCUCCUCAUCCCUGAGCUCCCAUAGCUGCAGUGGAGGCGGCUCCGGGCCCCAAGAACGCUCCUCAUCCCUGAGCUCCCAUAGCUGCAGUGGAGGCGGCUCCAGGCCCCGGGAAUGCUCCUUAUCCCUGAGCUCCCAUUGCUGCAGCGGAGGCAGCUCCAGGCCCCAGGAACGCUCCUCAUCCCUGAGCUCCCAUUGCCGCCGCGGAGGCGGCUCCAGGCCCCAGGAACGCUCCUCAUCCCUGAGCUCCCAUUGCCGCGGCAGAGGCGGCUCCAGGCCCCGGGAACGCUCCUCAUCCCUGAGCUCCCAUUGCCGCAGUGGAGCCAGCUCCAGGCCCCAGGAACACUCCUCAUCCCUGAACUCCCAUAGCCACGGUGGAGGUGGCUCCGGGUCCCGGGAACGCUCCUCAUCCCUGAGCUCCCAUUGCCAUGGUGGAGGCAGCUCCAGGCCCCGGGAAUGCUCCUCAUCCCUGAGCUCCGUCCCUCGCCCCGCACCCGGGCACCACCUGCCCUUGCUGGAGCGCUGCUGCCUCCUCCCCAUCCUGUUCCGUCCCGCUUGUGCUGGGGAACAGAGCAAUCGGAGGGUUUGCUGCCUUCCCAGGCGCCCGGUGCCCCCCGCUGUCCCCCUCGCCCUUCCUGGUGGCAGUCGAGUCAUCGUCACCGUUUGGGCCGUGCCGCUUGCCUUGGGGACCCACCACAGGGCAGCGCCCACCAGGGCAAACCAGGGCAGGAACGCAGCUCAGCGCCACUUUUUCUGUCCCUGUCCCCCCCUGCUCCGGGCUCUUUCCCUCUCGCUCCCCUUUGGCUUUAGGGCUGGGUCAGGAGGUCCCCAUUCGGCCGAGCCAGGACCCUGCCCCGUGUCCCGCGGGGGCACCCAGCUCGCCGGGGUGCUGCUGCUGGGAUGCUGCGGCCAUGGGRUGCUGCUGCCCACGGGACACCACUGUUUGUGGGACGUCACUGCCCAUGGGACACCGCUGCCCAUGGGAUGCUGCUGCCGGUGGGACACCACUGCCCAUGGGAUGCUACUGCCCAUGGGACACCACCAUCUGUGGGACACUGCUGCCCAUGGGACGCUACCACCCAUGGGACACCGCCACCCAUGGGACGCCACUGCCCAUGGGAUGCUGCUGCCCAUGGGACACCAUCGUCUGUGGGACACCACUGCCCAUGGGAUGCAACUGCCCAUGGGACACCACUGCCCAUGGGAUGCCACUGCCCAUAGGAUGCCGCUGCCCAUGGGAUGCCACUGCCCAUGGGAUGCUGAAGCCCAUGGAACACCACUGUCCGUGGGACACCACCGUCUGUGGGACACCACUGCCCAUGGGAUGUCACUGCCCAUAGGAUGCUGCUGCCCAUGGGAUGCUGAAGCCCAUGGAACACCAUUGUCCGUGGGACACCAUUGCCCAUGGGAUGCUGCUGCCCAUGGGAUGCUGAAGCCCAUGGGAUGCUGCUGCCCAUGGGACACCACUGCCUAUGGGACGCUGCUGUCCAUGGGAUGCUGA
ensembl:lncRNA